GAUGAACGCUGGCGGCGUGCCUAAUACAUGCAAGUCGAGCGAACCUCUUCGGAGGUUAGCGGCGGACGGGUGAGUAACACGUGGGCAACCUACCUUGUAGAUGGGGAUAACAUCGAGAAAUCGGUGCUAAUACCGAAUAACACUUUUCUUCACAUGGAGAAAAGUUAAAAGUUGGCUUCUGCUAACACUACAAGAUGGGCCCGCGGCGCAUUAGCUAGUUGGUGAGGUAACGGCUCACCAAGGCGACGAUGCGUAGCCGACCGGCGAGGGUGAUCGGCCACACGGGGACUGAGACACGGCCCAGACUCCUACGGGAGGCAGCAGUAGGGAAUCUUCCGCAAUGGACGAAAGUCUGACGGAGCAACGCCGCGUGAGUGAUGAAGGCCUUCGGGUCGUAAAACUCUGUUGUUAGGGAAGAAUAAGUACCGUUCGAAUAGGGCGGUACCGUGACGGUACCUAACCAGAAAGCCACGGCUAACUACGUGCCAGCCGCCGCCGUAA
rnacentral:rRNA from 1 species